AUGGCUCGUCUUCCUUUGGCCACCACGAGAUCUCGACGAAGGAAUUUAGCAUUUAGGAAUAUUUCGAUUAGCAUCAUGCUUAUGUACUAUUAUAUAUGGUUAUUAUUUGCACUAGUCUAUAAAAGGAGGUUGUGGAAGAUAGAAAAGAGGAUUAGAAAUAGAGAACUUAGAGCCGCACAUUUGUACCAACUCAUUGGCGAGAGUGAUGUAGCUUGCAUACAGGAGCUUCGCAUGGACAGGAGGACAUUCCACAAAUUGUGUGAGAUGGUUAGAGUUACUGGUGGUCUAGAGGGCACAAGGAACACAUCACUGGAAGAGAUAGUGGCUACAUUUCUCUACAUAAUAUCACACCAUCUAAAAAAUAGAACAAUCAAGAAGUUCUUUUAUCGAAGUGGUGAGACGAUAAGCAGAAAUUUCAAUAAAUGUUUGCUGGCUGUUUUGAAGCUGCACAACCUACUACUUAAGAAACCAGAGCCUAUACCCGAAGAUUGCACAGAUAAUAAUUGGAAGUAUUUCAAGGUAAAUUAUCUCUGCAUGAAAAUUUUAGUGUCGGUCACAUGA
rnacentral:rRNA from 1 species